rnacentral:rRNA from 1 species
UAGGGAAUCUUCCACAAUGGACGAAAGUCUGAUGGAGCAACGCCGCGUGAGUGAAGAAGGGUUUCGGCUCGUAAAACUCUGUUGUUAAAGAAGAACAUAUCUGAGAGUAACUGUUCAGGUAUUGACGGUAUUUAACCAGAAAGCCACGGCUAAAUACGUGCCAC